rnacentral:rRNA from 1 species
CAGCAGCCGCCGCGGUAAAACGAAGGGUGCAAGCGUUAAUCGGAAUUACUGGGCGUAAAGCGUGCGUAGGCGGUGAGUUAAGUCUGCUGUGAAAUCCCCGGGCUCAACCUGGGAAUGGCAGUGGAUACUGGCUCGCUAGAGUGUGUCAGAGGAUGGUGGAAUUCCCGGUGUAGCGGUGAAAUGCGUAGAGAUCGGGAGGAACAUCAGUGGCGAAGGCGGCCAUCUGGGACAACACUGACGCUGAGGCUCGAAAGCGUGGGGAGCAAACAGGAUUAGAUACCCCAGUAGUCCCUGUCUCUUAUAC